rnacentral:rRNA from 1 species
UGGGUUGUGGGGGAUGGGAGGAAAAUAAGAUUUUGGGAAGACACUUGGAUUGGUACAACUCCUCUUGCUAUACAAUAUUCGUAUCUUUACCUCAUUUGUGUUGAGAAAAAUGCUACCAUUCAUUCAAUUUGGGAUGGGGACACUCUUAAAAUUACCUUUAGGAGGUCCUUUACUCCUCAGAUGAUGGAGAAGUGGUAUGAGCUGAUGGAAAUAGCCAAAGGCAUUAACUUCUCUGGUGACUAA